GACGAACGCUGGCGGCGUGCUUAACACAUGCAAGUCGAACGGAAAGGCCCUGCUUUUGUGGGGUGCUCGAGUGGCGAACGGGUGAGUAACACGUGAGUAACCUGCCCUUGACUUUGGGAUAACUUCAGGAAACUGGGGCUAAUACCGGAUAGGAGCUCCUGCUGCAUGGUGGGGGUUGGAAAGUUUCGGCGGUUGGGGAUGGACUCGCGGCUUAUCAGCUUGUUGGUGGGGUAGUGGCUUACCAAGGCUUUGACGGGUAGCCGGCCUGAGAGGGUGACCGGCCACAUGGGGACUGAGAUAGGGACCAGACUCCUACGGGAGGCAGCAGUGGGGAAUAUUGCACAAUGGGCGGAAGCCUGAUGCAGCAACGCCGCGUGCGGGAUGACGGCCUUCGGGUUGUAAACCGCUUUCGCCUGUGACGAAGCGUGAGUGACGGUAAUGGGUAAAGAAGCACCGGCUAACUACGUG
rnacentral:rRNA from 1 species